rnacentral:rRNA from 1 species
UACGGGGGGGGCAAGCGUUGUUCGGAAUUACUGGGCGUAAAGGGCUCGUAGGCGGCCAACUAAGUCGGAUGUGAAAUCCCCAGGCUCAACCUGGGAACUGCAUCCGAUACUGGAUGGCUUGAAUCCGGGGAGAGGGAUGCAGAAUUCCAGGUGUAGCGGUGAAAUGCGUAGAUAUCUGGAGGAAUACCGGUGGCGAAGGCGGCAUCCUGGACCGGCAUUGACGCUGAGGAGCGAAAGCCAGGGGAGCAAACGGG